rnacentral:rRNA from 1 species
UAGGGAAUCUUCGGCAAUGGACGAAAGUCUGACCGAGCAACGCCGCGUGAGUGAAGAAGGUUUUCGGAUCGUAAAACUCUGUUGUUAGAGAAGAACAAGGACGUUAGUAACUGAACGUCCCCUGACGGUAUCUAACCAGAAAGCCACGGCUAACUACGUGCCAGCAGCCGCGGUAAUACGUAGGUGGCAAGCGUUGUCCGGAUUUAUUGGGCGUAAAGCGAGCGCAGGCGGUUUCUUAAGUCUGAUGUGAAAGCCCCCGGCUCAACCGGGGAGGGUCAUUGGAAACUGGGAGACUUGAGUGCAGAAGAGGAGAGUGGAAUUCCAUGUGUAGCGGUGAAAUGCGUAGUUAUAUGGAGGAACACCAGUGGAGAAGGCGGCUCUCUGGUCUGUAACUGACGCUGAGGCUCGAAAGCGUGGGGAGCAAACAGG